AAGGGGGGCAGGGAGAUAAAUCAGCAGCUAUCCCAGUCACUCAGGCUGCAGCCAACAGCCCAAGCUCAAAGCCAGCAGCUAAACCAGACUGUGAGCCUAAGCUAGGAGCUAAACCAGACUGUAAGCCUCAAACAGUGGCUGUUGCUACGAGCACAAUGGGCCAGUGAUAUCUCAGGCCAUCAGGGCAGAGAUGGCACCUGUAAGUGGGCACAAGACCAAGGGGUGGAUCUAACCAUGGACAGUAUUUCUCAGGUGAUCCAUGACUGUGAAGCGUGUACUGUGAUCAAGGAGGCCAAGCGAGUGAAGCCCCUCUGGUAUGGUGGGCGGUGGUCCAAGUACAAGUAUGGGGAGGCCUGGCAGAUUGACUACAUCACACUGCCCCAGACACGCCAAGGCAAGCGCCAUGUGCUCACAAUGGUAAAAGCCACCACAGGAUGGCUGGAAAAAGUUCUUUAUAGAAAGGGUUGUCCAGCCCUGAAACAGAAUGCCCAAGGCAGUGGUGGCACCCCCAUCUUGGCGUGGGGAUUUAAAAGCCAUGUGGAUAUGGCACUUGGGGACAUGAGUUAGUGGUGGAAUUGGUUGGACUCAAUCUUUUCCAACCCAAAUAAUUCUAUGAUUUUACAUUUAGCAGAGAAUGUUUACUGUUAGACCUGGAAUCUCAGACAUUCCCACAGCAGUAAUCCAAAUGGAGAUGUGUAAUUAGUAGCAUGAGUUGUGGAGACUUCUGAGGCGGGGAAGAUGAUCUUUAGAAUCAUGGUAUUUGAAACUUUGGAGACUUAUGCUUGGAUAUUUCUUUGACUGCCAGCUCAUGGAAACAUUAUCUAUGGGAUCUGUCUCACCGUUUUAAGAGUAACAGUAUAAGAGGAAAAAAAAACAACAAAAACCGAAAGAAAGCAAGAAACCAGAACACUGCUAGAGAACUAAACCUGCUCUGUAUGAUUGCUUAACUUUGCUAACUUCUGGCAGCUUGAAUAUUUCCCUUAAUCAGAGAGAGCUGAUAGGAAUGGACAAGAAAAAACAGACCCUUCCAUAUCUGUGGGCAUGAACAUUGCUGUCCACAAAUAAGUGUUCAGGUUAAGACUACCCAGAGACAAGCAGCAUUGCAUAAGAAGCCGAACAAAUACCAAAAACAUUUCCUUGGUACUGGAAGCAAAAACGUCUUGAGAAGGAAAAUGUAAUAGCAUCCUACUAAUAGUAAUUUGCAUGUUAGUUAAUUUACUUGUACUAAAAAUUAUGCCAGUCACAUGCAGCCCUGCCUCCCUGGGAGGAUGGAGCACUGGAGGGAGUGGGGGUGUGGUAAUUAGCCAAGUUUUCCUUGGUAUCCAGACUGACCCCAUUGCUCCGUGUUCUCCUUCUGCUUCUAGGAUGGUGCACCGAUUCAGACAACUGGAUUCAAAGGUACUUCUGUCCCAGAUUGCCCCGGGGAAUGUGAUUCUCUCUGGUAAAGCAGGGGGUGUGCCAUGGCAAGGAAAAUGAGCCUCCCAGAGUCGUGUGCAGUCUGUGUCACUGUCACCAGGGCCCCAUUUUAAUUGAGCUUUUUUACCGUGCUCUUUUGAUUCCACAGAUAGGAGUGUGUAGGGCGUGUAGUGAUUAGGACAGAAGGGAAUGGUUUUGAACUGAGAGUAGGAUUAGAUGGGAUAAUGGGAAAAAAUUCUUGGCUGUGAGUUUGGGCCCACCCUGGCACAGGGUACCCAGAGAAGCUGUGGCUGCCCCUGGAUCCCUGGAAGUAUCAAAAGCCAGGCUGGAUGGGGUUGGAGCAGCCAACAAUGAGCUGUGAGGUCCCUUCCAAGCCACAAGAGCUUUAUAUGAUGCAGGAAAAUGAAACAAAGACACUUGCUUAGCACUGGAGGAGUGUUUCUCAAUAUUCCUUGUGGGAUGGAAUAAAACGAAGUAAUUUACAUCUUAAACUGCAACAUUCAGCUGUAUAACAGGUCCAUGAAAUGCCAGUGGGAAGAAGGGAUGUCACACACUUGACAUGUCCCCAUCGCAAAGGUGUCUGUCAAGUUUAGCUUCUGGUGGUGUUGGCCUGGUGUAAUUAAGCAAUAUAAGGCUACCCAUCUACCAGAGAGCACAUUAUGAGAAUUGCCAUGCAAAUAAUCUUUUUAUGACUGUGAUGUUGAAAUGGGUAUGUGUGUUCACAGUGGGUAUUUUCUGAGGCUUGACUGAAUUAUCUGUUUGGCCUCUGAAGUGAGAAGUGGCUUUGGUAUGAAGCAAAGACUUUUCCAGAAGCUCAGGUGAAAAGACCCACAUAUACUUCAGAGUACUUUUUUUUUUGUUACUGUCAAAUAAUUUAGAUUGCAAAAUAAUAGCUUGCUUCCAGACUGAAAGGGAAGUGGUGAGUGAGUCUGUGGCUAGUGAUGCUUUUCUUGAAACUGAAAGGAGAUCUGCUAACCUUAAUUCUCUCCUGAAAAGAAAUACCCAUCUCUUGCUUCUCUCUUCUGGUAACUGCUGGUUAACUCUCUGAAAUAGAGGCAUCAGGACUCGCUGCAUUAAUUGCCCUGAUGAACACUGUACUUGGGACUGUCCUCUCAAGCACUCUUGCAUUUGGUGUAAUACUUGCAGAGGCAAUUACUUGUUACUUUCAUUGCUCAUUAGCAUUGCAUUCCUUCAGCUAGAUGGACUUUACAAAAAUAACCUCCUCCUUUUUUUUUUUUUUUUUUUUUUUUUUUAAGCUCUCUGAUUUGAAGGGCUUUCUGAAAGAGAUUUCCAGUAAAAUUAAAUGAGUGGAGCUGAAAUUCAAGAGCAGCUACUGGAGCAGGGUACCAAUUAAUGAAGAAUAAUUGCUCGGAGCUGGCAGCAACCCCCAAGCAGAUGGUAACAGAGGCACCAGAGUAUCAAUGUCUCAGCAGGAGUCAGCAGGAUUUUCUUGCAAUUUUUAUUUUUGUUGAUCAAACAGUCCUUUCUCCUUGUUGCAAGGUUGUGGUGAAACUGGAGAUGACUGCUUAUCUCCUGACAUGAUUCCUGCCCAAACUCUUCUCAUCUGCCCUAAGGUCCAGUGGCAGCAAUUAGUCCUUGUUAAGCUGCUGUUGCAAAUCACUCCUAUUUCCAAGAGUUCUGCUGCUGUUGCCAAAAUCCCUUUGCUUUUCCAUUUCACUUGGAGGGACCUGUGCGUGGCUUUCCUUCAAGCACUAAUUGCAUGUCUGAAUGAAUCAAUCUCCCUUCCUGUUCUGCCCUGUAGUAGCUGGAUCUUGCUUGUUCCUUGCACGGGCUGUCAGACCUGCUGGGGUCUGGAAUGCUGGUGUGCCAGAAUGCAGUGCAUUUCAGCAUCAUCCCCCCAAGGAAAGCCUUUGGUCCAACCCUGCAUCCCUAUUUCAGACUGUAAAGGAACAUUGUGGACUUGUUCCCCCUCUACCCGGAACCUUUCAGCAGUGCAGAAGCUCAGCUAUUACAGCCCUGCAUGGGAGAGACAUUAAUUCAUCUAGGAACUGUUUCUAAGGCUUUGUGGGCAAUCCUUCCUUGGUUUCAGUCAUGAAAAUUUGUAUUCUGGGAAUGUUGGAAUUCAUUUGACUUUUCCAAUGUGUUUGCUGAUCUUUGCAGCUGGAAAUGGAAAAGAGAUUGUUGGAACCUUUAAAUAGAGCAGUGCUUGAUAUGGUCAGGUGGUGCUUUCUGUCUAAAAUAGCAGCUGAAUUCUGUCACUUUUUUUUUUUUUUUUUUUUUGUAUAACUGAGAGCAUAGCCAACUGAAGGCACUACAAAUAGCAUUUAUUUACAUGGCAAAGCAUUGUAUCAACCUUCCUUCCCAGUGUCUUGGAAUCAUGGAAUCACAGACUCACCAGAGGAAAGGACCUGCAAGGAUCAUGGAGUCCAACCCCUGGCCCUGCACAGACACCCCAACAAUCCUAUCCUAUGCAUCCCUGAGAGCAUUGUUCAAAUGUUCCUUGGGCUCUGUCAGCCUGGGGCUUUGCCCAUUCCCUGGGGGAGUCUGGUCAGUGCCCCAGCACCAUCUGGGAGAAGAACCUUUUCCUAAAAUUCCACCUUACCCUGCCCUGACACAGCUCCAGCCGCUCCCUCAGGUGCUGUCCCUGUCACAGAGAGCAGAGAUUGGAGCUGUCCUUUGGGACAGAGCUGCCAGCCAUGCUGAGACCUCCUCCUCUUCUCCAAGCUGAACAAGCCAAUUGACCUCAGCUGUUCCUCAUACAGCUUCCUCUCCUGGCCCCUCAUCAUCUUCAUUCCCCUCUUUGGAUACUCUCUGCAGGCCUUAUAUCCUUAUGAUACAUUCAGAGAGGUUGCUGCUCUUUUCUCCCUGCAUUUCAUCACCCAACUGUACUGUAUGCUGUGCAUGACAUCAUCCUGGGGUCUCCAGCACUAACAAUAGCAGUGGUAUCUGUUUUCAUGUGGAAAUAUUUCCUGCUGAAAAGUAAAGGAGCCAGGCUUUCACUGAUUCACAUGGCAGUUAGCUGCAUCAUAAAUUCUUGAGAUAAGGUUCCUUUCUGGAAAUUAUUUUUCCCAUAUCAUUUGUCUGCCUUGGAUGUGAAAAUUGUGCUUUUUGUUCACUCCCUUCCUAUAUAAAACCUGUGGAAUGCUUUCAACCCUUCUGGGAAAUCCCAAGGGCCUUGCCUUGGAAGAAUAUACAAUAGUCUCCACCUAGGCUUAAAGAGAAGACUUCUGCCAUGGAGCCUUGCAACACCAGGAUCCACCCCCGUUCCUUUCCCCGUGUCCCAAAUUCUUGCAGUUUUUCCUUUCCCUGUUUCCUCAUUGGUCCUUGGUCGUGGUAUCCCUGGUGGCUGGCCCCGUCUUCCCUGUAGGCCAAUGCCCUUUGCCCUGCCCUUUGUGCUGCCCCCGUGCCCUCAGACCAUUGGCCACUGACCCCUGCUUAACCUUGUGCAGAGCACAUGGCCAGGUCUUUGUCCCUGAUCCCUUCAGCCUGGUGGAUGCAAUAAACCUUUGCUGGAAUACAUCAUAAA